rnacentral:rRNA from 1 species
CCUACGGGCGGCUGCAGUGGGGAAUAUUGCACAAUGGGCGCAAGCCUGAUGCAGCCAUGCCGCGUGUGUGAAGAAGGCCUUCGGGUUGUAAAGCACUUUCAGCGGGGAGGAAGGCGUUAAGGUUAAUAACCUUGGCGAUUGACGUUACCCGCAGAAGAAGCACCGGCUAACUCCGUGCCAGCAGCCGCGGUAAUACGGAGGGUGCAAGCGUUAAUCGGAAUUACUGGGCGUAAAGCGCACGCAGGCGGUCUGUCAAGUCGGAUGUGAAAUCCCCGGGCUCAACCUGGGAACUGCAUUCGAAACUGGCAGGCUAGAGUCUUGUAGAGGGGGGUAGAAUUCCAGGUGUAGCGGUGACAUGCGUAGAGAUCUGGAGGAAUACCGGUGGCGAAGGCGGCCCCCUGGACAAAGACUGACGCUCAGGUGCGAAAGCGUGGGGAGCAAACAGGAUUAGAUACCCGAGUAGUC